GACGAACGCUGGCGGCGUGCUUAACACAUGCAAGUCGAACGCUGAAGACCUGGCUUUUGUUGGGUUGGAUGAGUGGCGAACGGGUGAGUAACACGUGAGUAACCUGCCCCCUUCUUUGGGAUAACGCCCGGAAACGGGUGCUAAUACUGGAUAUUCACUGGCCUUCGCAUGGGGGUUGGUGGAAAGGUUUUUUCUGGUGGGGGAUGGGCUCGCGGCCUAUCAGCUUGUUGGUGGGGUGAUGGCCUACCAAGGCUUUGACGGGUAGCCGGCCUGAGAGGGUGACCGGUCACAUUGUGACUGACAUACCGCCCAGACUCCUACGGGAGGCAGCAUGGGGGAAUAUUGCAGAAUGGGCCAAAGCCUGAUCCUCCGACCCCCCAUGAGGGAUGGAGCCCUUCGGGUUCGACACUUGUGUCGCUCACGGUCUGCCGCAUCAUGGAUUGUGGUGGGGGGAAUGGGUAACCAAAUGUGACCGGUCAACCUCUCAGGCAAGCUACACGUAAGGGCGGUGCCACCCAUCAACCAAUUAUGGGGGGGAAGGCCGUAAAGAAAACUACUCCCCCCCUCCCCCGAAAGACAAGGGAGAAAUGGAGCGAGCACUGUGUAGUCGUGAUGAAGAAGAGGGGGGAGAAAGGAUAGGAAUGUAUAUGUUAUUUUCUACUCCCAAAAACAAGAGGAUGACACGGGCGACGAUAAAUAGUGAAUAGCACACCGAGCGCGGCGGGCGCGGGGUCGCGCAGUGGAGAUAUUAUAAUAUGCUGUAGCCCGAGGGCAAUUUUAUGUAGGGGGCUGCCCCGCUGGGGCCCCCGACUCCGAAGGAGGGGGAGGCAAGAGAGCCCGAUGGGGGAGAAAAAGAAGAGAAAACGCCC
rnacentral:rRNA from 1 species